AACGAACGCUGGCGGCAGGCUUAACACAUGCAAGUCGAGCGCCCCGCAAGGGGAGCGGCAGACGGGUGAGUAACGCGUGGGAAUCUACCCAUCUCUACGGAAUAACGCAUGGAAACGUGUGCUAAUACCGUAUACGUCCUUCGGGAGAAAGAUUUAUGGGAGAUGGAUGAGCCCGCGUUGGAUUAGCUAGUUGGUGGGGUAAGGGCCUACCAAGGCGACGAUCCAUAGCUGGUCAGAGAGGAUGAUCAGCCACACUGGGACUGAGACACGGCCCAGACGCCUACGGGAGGCAGCAGUGGGGAAGAUUGGACAAUGGGCGCAAGCCUGAUCCAGCCAUGCCGCGUGAGUGAUGAAGGCCCUAGGGUUGUAAAGCUCUUUCACCGGUGAAGAUAAUGACGGUAACCGGAGAAGAAGCCCCGGCUAACUUCGUGCCAGCCGCCGCCGUAAUAC
rnacentral:rRNA from 1 species